UUCCAGCAGACAAGGAUUCAGACCACACAAUUCAGGAGCAAUAAGAUGGCUGGAGUGAACAACAAGUUUCCCUUGACUUUAGAAGAAAAAGAUCUCUAAAUCCUGGAGAUGAUUACAUGCUUUUCCUGAGGGCUGAGGAAAGAGGAGAAGCAGUUGGUUUGUUUUCAAUUAGCCACCCUCCUCCUUUUUCUAAGAAGAGGAAAGUCACUGCCAGGUCACAGGGCUCGGAGCCAGGGUCAGCAGAGGGGCUGGUCGGAGCACCUGAGCCAAGUGGGCUGAGACUCUGAUCCUGGAGUUUGAAUCUAAGAAGGAAGCAGGCAGCACUGGAGCAAUUACCCCACAGUGCCACGAUCCUUGUGAGCAUAGGAGCUACAGGAAACUCGAGGAGAGCAUCCAACCCAGUUUGGGAAGUUCAGCACCCUCUUCCACAGGUGAGGACAGAGAGCUCAGACAGGCUGAAAAUGUGUUCAAGCUUACAUGAUCUGCUGCAGAUUUUAUGGAAGAGAAAGAAGUCGACAGGGAGCAAAAGUUGUGUGUGAGGGAUAGUGGUCCUGGAGCUACUGUGUGGGAAGACAAUGGAUCUGUCCUGGACAAUUGCUGUCACUAGCCUGCAGCCAUCAACAUCAAGAAGUCAACACUUGUUCACAGCCUCAGUAUUCGUAAGGGUCUGUGUUGCCAAAGGAGGUCACAAUGAUCCCUCUAUCCCAACUGCCCUUUUGGUGGCAUCACUUUGCCAGUUGGUCUGUGACUUGCUUUGGCCAAUAAGUUACAGCAGAAAUUCUCCCUUAAGUUAUAGCUUCUAUUCUCUCUCUGUCUUGGGAGCCAGCUGCCUUGUUUAGAAGCUCAGACCAAGCUGCUUGUUGGUGAGGUCGCUCAGACAAAGGUCAGAGUGCAGGAGGCUUAAGGCACUGGGCGAGAGCCAGCAUCACGCCUAGACGACCGCCUGUGGCCAGCUCAGGGCCAGCUCAGUCACCCAAUGAUCCCUGUGGAGCAGAGAUGGAUCAUUCUGCAGAGCUUUGCCCAAAUUCCUGAGCCUCAGAAUCAACAGAAAGAACACAGUGGUGUUUUAAACCACUACGCUUUGGGAUGGUUUGUUACGCAGCAAUAGACAGCUGGCACAGGCCAUUGGCACAACCACUUUGUUGUGUAUUGUAUAGGCACAGUGGUACAUUUAAAAAUGCUUAUUAUCUUCCUUAAGGUAAUAGGUGAAGAGUCUUUAAUGAGAAUAAUC
rnacentral:lncRNA from 1 species